rnacentral:SRP_RNA from 1 species
GCCAGGCGCUGUGGCGGGCGCCUGUAGUCCCAGCUACUUGGGAGGCUGAGGCAGGAGACUCGCUUGAGCCCAGGAGUUGGAGGUUGCUGUGAGCGUGAUGCCAUGGCACUCUACCCAGGGGGACAGCUUGAGGCUCCGUCUCAAAAAAAAAAAGAAAAUUAGAAUCUAAUUAGUAUAAAAGCUCUGAAAGCAUAAUUAUUUUUUACUUUUUUUUUUUUUUUUUUGAGACAGAGCCUCAAGCUGUCCCCCUGGGUAGAGUGCCAUGGCAUUACAGCUCACAGCAACCUCCAAC